AUUGAACGCUGGCGGCAUGCUUUACACAUGCAAGUCGAACGGUAACAGGCCGCAAGGUGCUGACGAGUGGCGAACGGGUGAGUAAUGCAUCGGAACGUGCCCAGUCGUGGGGGAUAACGCAGCGAAAGCUGCGCUAAUACCGCGUACGAUCUAUGGAUGAAAGCGGGGGACCGUAAGGCCUCGCGCGAUUGGAGCGGCCGAUGUCAGAUUAGGUAGUUGGUGGGGUAAAGGCUCACCAAGCCGACGAUCUGUAGCUGGUCUGAGAGGACGACCAGCCACACUGGGGCUGAGACACGGCCCAGACUCCUACGGGAGGCAGCAGUGGGGAAUUUUGGACAAUGGGCGCAAGCCUGAUCCAGCAAUGCCGCGUGCAGGAAGAAGGCCUUCGGGUUGUAAACUGCUUUUGUACGGAACGAAACGGUCCUGGUUAAUACCCGGGGCUAAUGACGGUACCGUAAGAAUAAGCACCGGCUAACUACGUGCCAGCCGCCGCGGUAAGAC
rnacentral:rRNA from 1 species